CUCUUAGAAUAUGUUAUAUAUAUAUAUAAACAAAAAAUUAAAAAAAUUUGAAAAACAAAAACAAAAAAAUAAUAUAUAAUUACUAAGAAUAGUUUUAUGUGUUUAUAGGUUAAGAUGUGGAUAAUUAGUCUGUUAUGUUCUAGGGAAAUGAUAUUAUUAAGACUUCACAUAAUUGAAAAGAAUCACUGUUAUGACUUGCUUUAAUUGUUGGUAUUUAGUAGUUGCCAUUUAAAUAUCCUCCUUUAGUGGAAUCCUCAUUAUGCAUUUUAAGUAGGUUCAUUUGGAAUCAGGUGUUUUAAUUUUCAAUAGUCCUUCAUUGUUAAAGAUGUAAAGUAAAAUGCUUCUAGAUCAAGGUUUAAUGCCUUAUAGUGUUUUAAUAUAUAUUCAGCCUGGCUAAUGACAAAAACCCUUGAUUUCUCCUUAUUUUUAACCCCUUCACCCCCAAUUCUUGAUUUCUUUUAUGGAAAUAUAAUUCUGUUUUUUUUUGUGACAAUUUUAUUCUGGUCACUCAAAAUCUAUUAAGAUAUGGGGAACUAUGUAGACUGACUAUGAAAUGUUCCAUAGCCAUAUUUGAAAUACUUUGAAGGUGUUAGAAUUCAGGCAAGGGUUUGCAAUGCUUGCUUCCUCAUCUUUCCUCAACUUUUAUUUAAAAUAAUGGAAUUUACAUUAUAAUGCACCACUUCAUUUUCAGUAAUGGAAAUAAGGAGCUCUACUCUUAAAUAUUUUUUAUAUAGACUCUGCUGUCUUAAAAAAUGAAAAAAUAACUUAUUCUUAGCCAUAUCUAAGAGUAAUCAACAUUUUUCUUUAUGGUUUGUGACUUAGACUCAGACUGGUAGAGUUAUCUACCCAGAUCGAAAGAAGAUUAAAUGAUACAUCCAUUUCACACAAAAGUCAAUCAGACAUUUUAAAACAGUUUACCUCUGUAAAAAAAAAAAUGUAGUUUUGUAUGAUGCAUUUAACUACUACAUAAUUUUUACUGACAUUAAACAUUUGAAUGGUAGGAAAGAUGUGUAAUUUAUGAUGCCAUUGUGAGGUGAUUUGAGUGAUUUUUGUCUGUUCCAAAUAUAAAAUUUAACCUUUCCAGUGAAUGAACUUUAUUUUAGGGAGAAAAAUAAGAAGUAUAUGGACUUUCUUUUUUAAGACCUAGGGUCUUGCUCUGUUGCCCACUCUGGAUUACAGUGACAUAAUCGUAGUAUCUCCCUGUAACCUUCGACUUAUGGGCUCAAGUGAUCUUCCCUGUCUCACCCUCCCAAACAGAUAGGACUACAGGUGUGUGCCACCAUGCCUGGCUAUUUUCUGAACAAUUUUCUUUUUUAAGAGACAGGGUGUUGACAUGUUGCCCAGGCUGGUCUUGAACUCCUGUUUCAAAUAGUCCUUAUGCCUCGGUCUCUCAAAGUGGUGGAAUUAUAGGUGUGAGCCGCUGUGCUUGGCCUCGACUUUCUGAUUAGAUUUAUAUUCUAAGAAAAAAUAGUAAUGAUGUUUUACUUUUAUGCUGAACUUUAAUUUUUAAAUUAAGAUAUAACUUAAUUGUAGAAAAUACAGAUAUGCAGAAAGUCAGUUGCAGAGAAUCUCAUUAUUCAGAGACUUUUAGUUCUUUAAUUACAUUUACUACUACAAAUCAUUAAUAUAUUUAAUUUGAAAAACUUUAACUUGAGAUGAAAUGUGAACAUUAUUUCAAGUUUCAUGGGAUGCUUUAAACUCCAUUUGACAAGUGUCAAUUUUAUAUUAAUACAUAUAUUAAUAUAUACAUGUUAAUAUAGUUAAUACAUUUAUAGUAAUAUUUUUCUUUUCUAAAGAAUUAGCUUUAGUCCUGUUUCACUCAUUUUUACUGGGUGCCUGCUGUAUGCACAUGUCCCUUGAAUUUAACAUUUUCCUAUUUUUAUUUGGUUAAUUUAAAAAAAAUUUAUAAACUGUAUUUUUAGAGCAGUUGUUGGUUCCCAGAAAAAUUGAGCAAAAAGUAUAGAGCAUUCCCAUAUACCCCCUGUCUUCAUACAUGCACAACCUUCCCUACCAUCUAUAUCCUGGACCACCUUGCUGUCUUUUGAUAACUUCACUGAUUUCCCAAAAACACCUGCAUCAGAGGCUUUGUUUUUUUGUUUGUUUGUUUGUUCGAGUCAAGAGUCUUGCUCUGUUGCUCAGGCUGGAGUGUAGUGGUGCAAUCUUGACUCCCUGUAACCUCCACCUCCCAGAUUCAAGUGAUUCUUGUGCCUCAGCCUCCUGAGUAGCUGGCAUUAUAGGUGUGUACCACCACACCUGGUUAAUUUUUGUACUUUUAGUAGAGAUGAGGAUUCACCAUGUUGGCCAGGCUGGUCUCAAACUCCUGGCCUCAGGUGCUUCAGCUUCCCUCACUGUUGGGAUUACAGGCGUGAGCCACCGUGUCUGGCCUGCAUCAGUUUCUUUACCUGACUACUAAUGCGUGAAACUCCAAGGUAAACACAAAAUUCAUUUAACAAGACAUAUUUUACCUAGCAUUGCAGAUGUCAGCCAGUUCUGCUGAUCUUAGCUGUGAUUUUUCUACUCUAUAUUAAUCAGACCAGUAACUUUAUUAGUUAUCUGAAUGGAUAGUUCUGUAAACAUUUAAGAAAUUCCAGCCUGGGGCAAUGUGGUGAAACCCUGCCUCUACAGAUAAUACAAAAACUAGUUGGGUAUGGUGGCAUGUGCCUGUGGUCCUAGCUACUCAGGAGGCUGAGGUGGGAGAAUCACUUAAGCCCAGUUUGUUGAGGCAGUGAGCCCUGAUUGUGCCACUGUACUUCAGCCUGGGCAACAAAGUAAGACCUUUUCUCAAAAAAAAAAAAAGUUAAUAAAAAAAUACAUAAAGAAAAUUUGAAACCUUUCUCACUAGGAAUUGGUGUAUUUUAAGCCUAUUUUGUAUAUAUAAACACCUCUAUUACAAUAUUACUACUCUGUUUGUGUUAAAAUGGCUUCCAAACCUCUCUCUUGGAUGUGAUGGGUUUUCCUUUCAUAAUAAUUUUUGCUUUCAUCUAUUUAAUUGACUAUGACUUCAUAUGAGGGCAUGCUUCCAGUUUCUCACUUAGGUUGUAGGUCCAGAUAAUAAGUAAACUAAAGCAAGAUGGAGGGAUGAAGUUAUCAGUUAUUACUUAGUGGAAGAAGUAGCAUCUAUCAGGGUUUUAAAGAAUGUAUAGUAGCUUAAUAGUUACAGAAAGUGUUCCAGGCAAGCAUAAAGACAUGACCGAAAAGUACGGAGGAAAAGUGGUCGUUAAGUAUAGAUUUUCAUUUCUGGUAAUUAGGUAGACUAGGUCGUUUAGACUAACCCUUCUGAAAAUUACUAGAAAUUCUGGAUACAAUUUAAGAAAUAUUUUAAAAGUAUUGAAAAACUGAUAAUGUGGUAAGGUAAUAUGAAGCAAAUCUAAACAAAAGCAGAAAGUUAGGUAAAUGAAAGCCUCUUUUUUUGCCUGGUGAACUUGAGCUUUUGUUUUCAUGGUCUUGUAAAUAGAUAGAAUUUAGAAGAGGCUUUUUUUUUUCAUGGUCUUGUAAAUAGAUAGAAUAUAGAAGAGGCUUCCGUUCUUUACAAGAUGGGCCUCUUUAUAGGGCUACUUAUUAUUGAACUUCUAGAUUCCCUCAGAGUAAGUGAUCAAAUAAUAAUAAAGAACAAUUUACAAUAAUAAUAAAGAACAAAUACCAAAUGUAAAGCCAAGGGACUAACUGGAAUGAGAAGUCUAAUAAAAUUUCCCUUCUGAUUCCCAUAAUUUACACCUUUGGCAUAAGGAUCAACUGGAAGCAAACCUGCUUCACUCUCCUACCUCCGCUAGGACUGCAGGGAAAAGUGCCAUGAGUGAGAACCAACAGAAGUAGACAUUAAGUAUAGAUCUAGAAAGACUUUAUGUAUUGAUAUUAGAAAGCAGAGAUUAUAAAAUAAAUAUACUGGGUGCCAUGGUUUACACCUAUAGUCCCAGGACUUUGGGAGACUGAGAUGAAAGGAUUGCUUGAGCCCAGGAGUUCAAAACCAGCCUGCGCAAUAUAGGAAGACCCUGUCUCUACAAAAAAAUUCAAAAAUUAGCCAGGCAUGGUGAUACGUAACUGUAGUCACAGUCACUUGAAAGACUUAAGAUGUAAGGAUCACUCGAGCCUAGUAGGGAAGCUGCAGUGAGCUGUUAUUGCUAUUUCAAAAAAAAAGUUGAAUAGAUUCUAUGUAUUAUGGAAUUUGAAAACAUUGAUUACAAGAUAUACCAUUACUUUAUGUAACAUUUAGAGAAAUGCUGGCAGUUAAACUGCAGGUUGAUAACUUAUUUCCUGAUGUAGGAAUUGACUAUACCAGGUUCUUAUUGUUUUGAAAUUUCUCUCAUCUUUUCCUAGUGAUUUGGCAGAUUCUCUUGUCUUCUUUUGCAUUGUUUGGCUUAUGAUAGAUAAUGUUUUCACACAUGUAUUUCCGUUUCAUCUAUUUGAGAGUAUCUCUCAUUUUCAAGUUUAUAAAAUACUAAGCCGUUUGCCAGAAAACAUACAAUUGUGAUUGUUUCUAUAGUAAUGAAUAUUUGCUUUGUUGAUGUCAGAUUUUACCCUGUUGCUCUGUUUUCAUGCCUUUGUACACAAUACUUUCGUUUUAUUGCCUAAUGAUAGCAUAAUUUUUUGAAGACAUUUUGAAUGAUAGUUAAACUUAUGUGUAGUAAUAACUAUACAUGUUAAUCUAGUGAAGGAACAUCAAUACGAAAUCUACCAGGUUUGCACAUGAACAGGCAAGAACAAAUGUUAGCUGCCUCUGUAAGGGCAAUUUUGAGAUGCAUUUUAAUUUCAAAGAUGUCAAAAUGUUAAGAAUCUUAGAAUCAUAGAAAUAUGGAAAAAGUGACCUCACAGUUUUGAAAGAGAAAUAGACUUGUCUUAAAGUGGGGAAAAAUUAGAAUUAAAAAAAAUUGAAUGGUAAAAGUACAUUUUAAAACUUGGCAGCUACAGAAUUAGGAAAAUGUAAGUACAUAUGUUAGAAAUAAAAAAGACUAAAACUUAAUGAACUAGUCAUUUGUGGUAGCCAGCCUUCAAGAUCCCACCUCCUGGUAUUUGCACUCUUGUGUGUUGUCCCCUCCCACAUUGUACUACAGGUUGAUCUGUGUAGUCAGUAGAAUUUGUCACAAGUGAUAAUAUGCCAUUUCUGUAAUUAGGCUGUGAAAGACACUAUUGUUUUACCUCAGUUGUUCCUUAUUAUUAUUAUUUUUUGAUCACUUACUCUGGGGGAAUCCAUAAAUUCAAUAAUGAGUAACCCUAUGGAGAGGCCCAUCUUGUGAAGAAUGGAAGGCUCUUGCCAACCACCAUGUGAGUGAGCUUUUAAGUGGUUCCUCCAGCCCAGUCAAGCUUUGAUAUGACUGUGUUCUUAGUAGGCAUGUUCAUUACAAGCUCAUGAGAAAUGCUGAGCCAGAGCCACCAACCUGAGCCACUCUUGAAUUCUGACCCUAAGAAACAGUGAGAUAAAUGUUUGUUGUUUUAAGCCGCUAAAAUUUAGGGUAACGUGUUAUGCAGGAAUAGAUAACUAUUGCAUCAUCCGUUUAAGAGGAUAAGAACAAAAACCCAAAGAAAGAGUGAAAAAAAUAGUGGCCUUUGUUAUUUAUUUAUUUAUUUGAAACACAGUCUCACUCUGUUGCCCAGGCUGGAGUGCAGUGGCACCAUCUUGGCUCACUGCAACCUCCACCUCCUGGGCUCAAGCGAUUCUCCUGCCUCAGCUUCCUGAGUAGCUGGGACUACAGGUGUGCACCACCACACCCAGCUAAUUUUUGUAUUUUUGGUAGAGACAAGGUUUCAUUAUGUUGGCCAGGCUGGUCUUGAACUAGUGAUCUCAGAUGAUCCACCCACCUUGGCCUCCCAAAGUACUGGGAUUACAGGUGUGAGCCACCACGCCCAGCUGGAAAUUGUAGCUUUUUAAAUGUGAAAAUUCCCAAGUUUAUUGUAUGUAUUUUCAGUUGUUGUGGGAGAUAUACAUAUAUCAGAAAGUUGGCAUGUAUUAAGAAAUAGGUUUAUGUUUAACAGGCCACUAUCCAUUAUAUAACAUCAAGGGAUGAGUAGCAUAAACACAGUCUGUAUCGGGUUAUACUUUUAAUUGAGAAUCUGGAAGUGGGAUUGAGAAUAAUAAAUAGCUCUUUCUUCUGCAAAUCUUUCUAGUAGUAACGGUGUUAGUAUGAGGAAAUUGUCAGGUUUUUGCAGAAAUUACUCGUAAUGAAAUACCAGAUUAGUAGUUUCUAAUGUCACAAAAAAGAGAUAACCAGAUGUAUUAGGUACCUUAUAAAAUAAAUAUGUAACACAUAUGUGACAAUUUUUUUUUAGCCAAAAAAAUUGAUUCUGAAUUUAAUUAAGCCUCUAGAUUUAACUGCUAGUUUAUAGGAAAUACUGAGGUCCAAGGAAUAAAUGACAAAAGGAUAUGCAACCAACAAAACCCCUUAAUGUGACAAAUUUUACAUCACAAAUGACCCCAUGUCUUUAACAGAUGGUGGUGGUGGUGAUGAUGGUGGAGGAGAGAUGUAGUGGAAACCUAUAGGUUUAAAAAGACUUAAAAGAUAUAUCAACCAGUUGUAAUAUAUAGACUUUAUUUGGGUUCAGAUCUGAUCAAACUGAUGAAAAAGAAAGGCACUUCUGAGUGAGUCUGGAAAAUUUGAACACUGACUGAUGUUAAAAAAUCUGCUAAUUUAGGCCGGGCACGGUGGCUCAAGCCUGUAAUCCCAGUACUUUGGGAGGCCAAGGCGGGUGGAUCACGAGGUCAAGAGAUCGAGACCAUCCUGGUCAACAUGGUGAAACCUCGUCUCUACUAAAAAUACAAAAAAUUAGCUGGGCAUGGUAGUGUGUGCCUGUAAUCCCAGCUACUCGGGAGGCUGAGGCAGAAGAAUUGCCUGAACCCAGGAGGUGGAGGUUGCGGUGAGCCGAGAUCGCGCCAUUGCACUCUAGCCUGGGUAACAAGAGCGAAACUCCGUCUCAAAAAAGAAAAAAAAAAAAUCUGCUAAUUUAUUUUAAAUGUGAUUUGAUAGUUAUAUUUUAAAAAGAUAAUUUUAGGUGAAAGAAGAUUGGUCAUGAUUUGACAAUUGUUGAAGUCAGGUCAUCCCAUUCUCUACUUUUAUGUAUGUUUGAAAUUUUAUUUAAUGAAAUGUGUUUUAGAAAGAGUAGAAAUUAAUUAAAUAAUAUAUAUAAUGGAAAGGAUCAACCAAAUAAAAAGUUGGUUCUCUGAUAAGGCUAAUGAACUUGAGUCAGGAAGAAAAGGCAUGUGGUUAUAGGUAUAUGUUUCAUACCAUAGGCACCCUUUUCAGUCUCCUUCACAAGGUACAUUUCAUUUUAAUAACAAUAUUUUGGCUUGUUUAACUAAUUUCAUUGAGCACUAACUAGAGUGUAGUAGUAUAAUCACAGCUCACUGUAGCCUUCACCUUUGGGCUUAAGUGAUCCUCCACCUUCCUCCUGAGUAGCUGAGACCACAUGUGUAUGCCACCAUACCUCACUAAUUAAACAAAUUGUUUUGUGUGUUUGAGAUGGGAUUUCACUAUGUUGUCUAGGCUCAAAUGAUCUGCCCACUUGCCUCAGUUUCCCAGAAUGUUGGGAUUACAGACAUGGGCCCAAUCUCCACCUCCACUUUUUAAAAAACUUUUUCAGUCUUACCUGUUAUCAUCGAAGUGAACAAUGUUCGGAUGGAUACUUGGUUAGGAAAUGCUGACUUCUCCAGUCUGAUAAUCCUGGAUUUUGAUUAUCCCACUACUUCCUAUAAUUUCCACACUGGAAUGAUACCAAAUGUUGUACAUCUUUGAACAUAUCUUGCUGUUUUCUCUCUGUCUGGAUUUCUUCCCCCAACCUUUGCUGAGAGUAUCUGUUUAUGAUUCUUUGAAAACUUUUUUGAGCUCUUGACACUACACAUUACCCCCACCGUUGACAGAAUCAAUAAUUCCCUUCUUUAUGUUAUUUCAGUAUUUUUCACAACUAUGUUACUUCAUAGGUUAUUUUGCAUUUAUUUGUUUAUACCUCUUUUCUCUUGAACAAUAAGCACUUUGAGAACAAGACUGUGUUUCCUUUGUCUUUAUAUUCAUUAUCUAGCAUGGUCCCUAGUUCAUACAUGGUUGGUCUGUAUUUAUUAAACGUUUUUUAUGGUUGCUAGGAUGUAUCAGAAAAACUUAAGGGCUGACUUGCAAGACUAGUCACCAUUAUAAUGUUUCUGUGGGGGGAAUUUAUCUUGUGGUAGGAUGUUAGAAAAUAUAAAUAUAACUGAUUUAAAUGAACUUUUAAAAUUCAAUUCAUAUGUAAGUUGAGAACUGUCCAAUGUAUGAUUGAAAUAUGUAUAUACAUUUAAAAUUUGCUAGUUUUGCCUAGAGGAAAUAAAGCAUUCCCCCUAUUCUUAGCUGUAACCCUGUCUCUGAAGAAGUAGGGGAAAUUGCUUAGAUCAUUUAAUUCCAUUAUCCUCUUCUAAAGCCUCCCAAAAGGUGGGUGGGUGUUAAUGAGAAGCUAAACACCUGCUGUGCUUUAAUAUAGUUUAGGUAAUUACAUGUGGCUAGUGCCGCCAAUAUUAGACGGCACAGCUCUAAGUGUUCAGACUUCAUUCUUUGGUAAUGGGGAGCCACUGAAAAUAUUUGGGCAGGACAGAGGAGAUGAUUGGAUUUAAGUUUAACACAUCUCAUUAGUAGCUGUGUAUAGGUGGGAGAAAUUGUAGGGAGCUACGUAACAUUCCAGAGAUUAUUUGUCUUAAUCAGUGGCAGAUGGGAUGAUUGGAUAUUUGAGUACAGAAUCAAUAAACUUGAUUUUUGUAAUUAUUUUGCUUGUUAUAUUGGAUCAUGACCAACUUGUUGGUGAGGUCUGUAUUAUAACAAUUGUAACCAACAUGUUUUGAGCAUUUGUAAAUGUCAGGCACUACUGAGUGCCUUUGUGCAUUAUCUCAUUUAGUGCUCUCAACAACCCUGUGAGGUAGGAAGUAUUAUCUUCAUUUUACAGACAAAGAACAGCUCAGAGAGGUGAAGUAACUUACUGAAAGUCACACAGAUAGUAAAUGCAAAGAGGUUUGAGAAGAAAAGAAUAAGAUUUAAAAUCAGGUGGCAGAGGGGAUCAUAUAUAGCACAUAACAUUACUGUUGUGUGGGAGUUUCCUGAUUUGGGCACAUAGUAGGUUAUGAAAAUAGUAUUUAUUGUUACUUAUUGAGCAUAUACUAUGUGCUAGGCAUUCUAAGCCCUUGACAUGUGUUAGAUUAUUUAAUUUUCACAACUGUCCUGUGAGACAUCAUUAUGUUCAUUUUUAUAGAGGAAGAAAGUGAUGUGCAAACAUAGGCUGACUUGUUCAAGAAAGUUACAGAGCAGGGAUUAGAGUCCAAAUAAUUUGGCUGCAGCACUCCCGCACUACUUAAUACAUUUGUGUGUUAUGUUAAUAAAUAAAUACUGUACAAUUGGAGAGAUAGGCCAGACUGUGGUGUUUCAAUAAAGCAAACUUGUCUUAACUGUGAAAGUGACUCAGCUUGAGAUUUAAUUAAAAUUGUUUCUGUGUGUUUGUAUCUUUCUUUUUAUGACCUUUGGCAGUGAAAUGAAGGGUUUUUAUAGGAUGUAUAAAAUGUGGCUUUUUUUUUGUGUUAAAUACUUUAUGACCUUGAGUUUACUGGUCCUGACUAAGUUCCCCUUUCCUCUUUUGCCCACUAAAGCUUAAUUCUAUUUAUGCACACAGUUAAAGCCAUCGUAGUGUAGUGGAAAGAACACGUAUUGGAUUCUUACAUUUUAAUUCCAGCGUUAUCCAUUACUAGCUGUGUGACUGGGGAAAUUAUACAUCUUUAGAACUUCCCUUUUAAUUAUUUUCUCUUUUUUUUUUUUGAGAUGGAGUAGCUGGGAUUACAGGUAUACACCACCAUGCCUGGCCAAUUUUUUGUAUUUUUAGUAGAGUCAGGGUUUCACUAUGUUGGCGAGGCUGGUCUCAAACUCCUGACCUCGUGAUUCGCCCGCCUUGGCCUCCCAAAGUGCUGGGAUUACAGGUGUGAGCCACCAUGCCUGGCAGAACUUCCCUUUUCUAACCUGUAAAAUGGGGAAAAUUAAAUCUUCAUUUGAUAGUUGUAAGGAGUAAAGGGGAUGAUUUUUUAAAUGCCUGCUCUACUACUUUGUGUAUGGCAGAUGUUCAAAAUAUUGUAAGUGCUUUAUUUCUUAAUAAAUGAAACAUCUCCAAAUAUAAGUACCUUUUUUUCCUUAGAGUUGUUUAAUUUUGUAGUUGAACUCUGUGCUUGCCAAACACUUGGUAGCCAGACAUUUAGAAUUUGAACCAGAUACUAUAGAGUUUCUAAAUAAAAUAUGCAUUAGAAGAGAAAUGCAUUAAUUCUUUAUGGUGUUGUGUGACUGUUUUGUGUCUUUUACCAAGAGGUAAUUCUCUGCUAUAUUAGAGAGGAACAAUGAUAAGGAACACUUUAGCUACUUGUAUUUCUGGAGUUCUAUACUGCAUGGAUAAAUGAAUGAAUAAAUGAAUGACAUUCUAGUUGGACAUGUAAAAAGCAAGUAGUGAAACUCUUGAGAAAGUUUCUCACAAAAGGUAGCUAUUUUUCUAAAGUAUUUUCAUCUGAUUUCUCAGUAAUGAUGUAGAGAGAGGUAGUUUACAAGCUGAUCUUAGAAACGUAUAUUAAUAGAAAAAGCAAAUACACAAAAGGUCAGUAGUCUCUGCAUAUUCUGGGAACAUUCUUUUAGAUUUUGAUUUGUAGUGUAAUGCUUUUAUUUCAGAAAAUUAGUUGUUUGAAUUCCCUUUAAUCAAGAGCAGUGCUAAAGCAAUGAUAUUUAAUGACUAUGUAACUGAGACUCCUAAAUCACAUGUUGAAAUCUGACUGACAUGAAGAAAUAUUGAGGGGGCAAAGGAAAAGAAUCGGACAUCAAUUUUUGAGAUACAGUUAAUAUAUUUAAAAAUUUCCAGGGCUCAUAGUUGUUUUUUUUUUUGAGACAAAGUCUUGCUUUGUCACCAGGCUGGAGUUCAGUGGUGCGAUCUAGGCUCACUGCAACCUCUGCCUCCUGGGUUCAAGUGAUUCUCCUGUCUCAGACUUCUGAGAAGCUGGGACUACAGGGUGUGUGCCACUAUGCCCAGGUUUUUUUUUUUUUUUUCUAUAUUUUUAGUAGCGAUGGGAUUUCACCAUGUUGGCCAGGAUAGUCUCGAUCUCCUGACCUUGUGCUCUGCCCGUCUUGGCCUCCCAAAGUGCUAGGAUUACAGGUGUGAGCCACUGCACCCAGCUAGUUUUUUUUUUCUCUCAGCUUUACUGAAAUGUCACAAAGCUUUAAAAUCCACAGAUUUUCAGUGUCAAAUGUGAUGAAUUUUGAUACACACAAACAUUUGUGUAAACAUUAUUUUAGUCAAGAAAUGGAAAAUUUCCAUCACCUAGGAAAAUUCCCUCUGUGCCCUUUGCAGUUAGUCCUCCCCAGAGGCAGCCAUGUGGUCUAAUUUCUGUUACCAUAGGCUGCUCUAGAACUGCAUAUAAGUGAAAUCAGGCUAGUUGAGGUGCUUCACACCUAUAAUUACAGCACUUUGGGAGGCCAAGGUAGGAGGAUCACUUGAGGCCAGGAGUUUGAGACCAUAACAAGAUCCCAUCUCUAAAAAAAAUUCAAAAAGUAACCAUGCAUGGUGUUUUGGGCCUGUAAUCCUAGCUACUUGGAAGGCUGAGGCAGGAGGAUUCCUUGAGCUCAGGAGUUUGAGGUUGUAGUGAACCGUGAUUGUGCCACUGUACUUUGGCCUGGGUGACAGAGUGAGAACCUGUCUAAUAAAUAAAUAAAUACAUAAAUAAUUACAUGAAUAAAUAAAAUAGGUGGUAUGUGCUUUGAUGCCUGACAUCUUUUGUUCAAUAGAUUUUUGAAAAAAUUUUUUUGUCAUUGUGAGUAUCAAUAGUUCAUUUUUAUUCCUGGAAUUGUAUUCCAUUACCACAAUUUGUUUAUCUGUUAACUUGACAGAAUUUUUGUUUUCAGCUUUGGGCUAUUAUAAACAAAAUUUCUAUAAACAUUUUUGUACAGGCGUUUUUGUGGAUAUUUGUAUUCAUUUAUCUGGGGGAGGAAUGGCUGGGCUGUUUGGUAUGUGUAUAUUUAAACAUUUCUAAGUGGUAAUCUUAUUUCAUACUGCCACAAGUAAUAUAUGAGAGUUAGAAUUACUGUACGUCUUCACUAAUGUGAUAUAGUUAGUCUUUUUACUUUUAGCUGUUCUAGUGGGUAUCUUACUUGGUUUUAAUUUGCAUUUCUCUGGUUAACUAAUGAUAUUAGUCACAGAUUAGGAUGCUAUUUGGACAUUUGUAUAUUCCCUUUCGUGAAGUGUCUAAACCUUUUGCCCAUUUUUUUUUGUUUUUUGAGACGAAGUCUUACUCUGUCUGGCGUGAAGUCGAGCCAUCUCAGCUCAGUGCAACCUCUGUCCCCCAGGUUCAAGAUAUUCUUCUGCCUCAGCCUCCCGAGUAGCUGGGACUACAGGCAUGCGCCACCAUGCCCAGCUAAUUUUUGUAUUUUUAGUAGAAACAGGGUUUCGCCAUGUUGGCCAGGAUGGUCUUGAUCUCUUGACCUCAUGAUCCACCCUCUUUGCCUCCCAAAGUGCCAGGAUUACAGGUGUGAGCCACCUUGCCCGGCCCCUUGUGCUCAUUUUCAAAUUGAGUUGUCUUUUUGUUAUUGAUUUUAGGAGAUCUUUAUGUUCUUCAUACGAGUCUUUGAGAGUAUUUUCAGCCAGUAUGGUUUGUCUUUCCGCUUUUUUUUCUUUAGAGUCUCACUCUGUCACCAAAAUAUAGGUUUCAUAAGUGCAGAGAUUUUCAUCUUUUUCUUUACUAAUGGCAUGUGUCACUCAGUGGCACGAUCACAGCUCACUGCAGUCUCAAUUUCCUGUGCUCAACAAUUCCUCCCACCUCAACCUCCUGAGUAGCUGGGACUACAUGCUUGCUCAACCAGGCACAGCUAAUUUUUUUCUAUUUUUUGUAGAGAUGGAGUCUCACUAUGUUGCUUAAGCUGGUCUCAAAUUCCAGGGCUCAAGCAAUUCUCUCACCUCAGCUUCCCAAGGUGUGGAGAUUACAGAUGUGAGCCACUGCACCCAGCCUUCAUUUUCUUAAUAGUGUCUUUUGAUGAGUAGAAGUUUUAAAUUUUGAUGAACACAUUAUUUUUUAUUCUUUUUAGGUUUAUGAUUUUUUUGUGUCCUAGCUAAGAAACCUCUGUUUAUCUCCAGGUAGCAAAAUUUUUCAGUAUUUUCUUUUCUUUUUGAGACAGGGUCUCGCUCUGUCACUCAGACUGGAGUGCAGUAGUGUGAUCUUGGCUCACUGGAACCUCCGACUCCCGGGUUCAAUCAAUUCUCAUGCCUCAACCUCCUGAGUUGCUGGAACAACAGGUGUGCACCACCACACCCGGCUAAUUUUUGUACUUUUAGUAAUGAUAAGGUUUUACCAUGUCGGCCAGGCUGGUCUCAAACCCCUGACCUAGGUGUUCUGCCCAGUUUGGCCUCCCAAAGUGCUAGGAUUACAGGUGUGAGCACUGUGCCCAACAUGUUUUCUUCUAGAAAAUUUUGGUUUCAGUUUUUAUGUUUACUUUAAUGAUUUAUUUCCAAUUUGAUUUCAUUUAUGCAUUUUACACUUAAUUAAUGGAACAAAUAUUUACUGAGCACAGCCUCAGUACCAGCCACUAUUAAAGGUACUGGUGUUCAUUAGUAAACAAAAAAAAUGAAACUCUCUGCACUUGUGAAAUCUAUAUUCUGGGGAAGUGACAAAUAGUAAACUAAUAAGUAAAUUAUAGAGCAUGAUGAAAGGUGAUAAAGGACCAUGGUUGGGGGAACAUGAUAGGGUAAGGUAAAGGGGUGGUGAGGUUUCUGGUUUUAAGGAAGAUGGUAAAAAUAGGCCUUACUGAGAAAAUGUCAUUUAAAAAAUGACUUGGGCUAGGGUUGUGCCUGAUCAGUAGCUGCAGUACUAGAAAGAUGGAACAAGAGCAAAGAAAAAUCCCUUUGGUUCCAGAAAAUCUCUUGAGAAAGAGAAAGGCUUAUCAAGCCCUCAAAGCCACUCAGGCAAAACAGGCACUUUUGUCAGAGAGGGAGCAGAGGUAAGGAAAAGGGCUCAGGUUUAAGCAACUGGAAUCAUUCCUACAUGAUUGCCGGAGGCAGAAACAUGACAAGGUGCAUCUCAGAUGACUAAAAGUGAGAACUCAUGCCUUGAAAUUGCCAGAUAAACAUUCGUUGGUCUUUGUUGGAAGGAUUAAUGGUAUGAGUUUACCGGUGGAGAGAACCAUUGCAAGACUUCACCUGAAGAAAAUUUUUAGUGGUGUCUUUGUAAAAGUCAAUCCCCAGAACCUAAAAAUGCUGCUUAUAGUGGAACUUUACGUGACCUGGGGAUUUCCACAUCUGAAGUCUGUGAACUAACUUUGAAAUGUGGACAAGCCAAGUUCAAGAAUAAAACCGUCCCUCUGACAGACAACACAGUGACUGAGGAGAACCUGGAGAAGUUUGGUGUCACUUGCUUGGAAGACCUCAUUCAUGAAAUUGUCUUCCCAGGGAAGUAUUUCCAGGAGAUUUCAUGGUUCUUGCACCCUUUUCACCUUUUAGUGGCCUGUCUUGCUCAGGCUGGAGUGCAGUAGCAUGAUCUUCCCUCACUGCCACCUCUACUACAUACCAAAAAUAUAGUGGGCUUCCUCAAGAAGAUUGGCUCACCUGGCUCUGUGGUGAAUGCAUCAAUCAGCUCAUCCACCAACUGAACAAGACCCAGAAUAUCUGAAAGCACAGUGCAGUGGAAGCAUGUGUUUUUGUUUUUUGGGGAAUUUUUAUCAAGUAUCUUCAGAGAAGAUUAUUCCCUGUUUUAUUUUCAAAAACUGGAAAGGAACGGUCAAAGAGAAGACAGUAGUUUACAUUCAUGGGAAGCACCGCUCAUCACAGUCCAGUUCCCAGGAAAAUUUCAGUGUUUUCUACCUUGGCUGUCAUCUCAUCAGAAAUAAGCACAUGCCAUGGAAGAAGGAGUCCUACUUUGUUGUAUCUUCUAUCCUAGGGUUUAAUCUUGGUAAAUGAGUAACUCAAGCAUUUGUACAAGGCUCUCUAGGACUCCCGCAACAAUGGACCAAGUGCAGGGACGUAAUGGAGAUUCCUGGGGUCUUGUUUUGAAAAGACUUGAAAUAUACAUAAGAAGAAAGGCACACAAAUGAAUAUCCAGUUAUCCAAAAAAAAGAGAGAGAAAAAAAAGAAAAAGACUUGAAGAAGAUUUAGGGAUUAGCCAUUCAGAUAUCUGGGAGGAGAGUGUUCUGGGUAGACAAAACAGCCAGUGCAAAGGCCUUAGGAUGGGAGCUUGUCUGUCAUAUCCCAGGAAACAGCCAGAAAGCCAGUAUAGUACAGGGUAAAUGUGGACAAGGUUACAAUGAUAUAGGAGAGCAAAUUGUUUAAACUCUUAUAGGACAUUGUUAAGAUUUUAGCUCUUUGAGUGACAUGAGAAGUCAUUUGAGAGUUCCAUAUACUUAAUACACAUUUUAAAACAGCACAUAUGUACUCCUGAAUUCACUUAGAGAUUUCAUAGUAUUGCUUCUUUAGGUAUCUGUUUAAUAGGUGUGGAAGCAUUUUUUUUUCCUGAUAGGUAUACUUAAU